UGAUUUUUGGGCCAGUAGUUUUCAUAUCCGCCCUAGCCCAUUUAGUUUGUUGAGCCUGAACAUUUUUUUGUGAUUUUUUUGGGCCAGUAGUUUUCAUAUCCGCCCGUAUGUGUUCUUUAAUUUAUAUAUAUAUUCUCGCUACUACUAUCGCUGCAGAUUCAUUAUUCCAAGCAAGGCCAAUUAUUCAAGUCGAAAGUCCAGACCAUGCACAAGGAAAUUCUUCAAAGUCCCUGGCUUUGUGAGCUUAUUGCCUUACACAUUAACUUAAGGGAAACGAAAGCCAAGCCAAGGGAGGCAUCUGCACUGUUUUAUGGAUGUUAUCUCACAUUCAACGAUGGAAAACCAUCACUCACUUGACUUAAGGCAGCAAAUCCUAAAGAAAAAUGUCCUCUAUGCCGAGAGGGAAGAGUUUACGAAGAUGCUGUGCAUUUGGAAGAAUUAAAUACUCUGCUAGGCCGAAGGUAUGAUACCAAUUAUUCCAUUAGCAAGUGGGUGAGAUUAGAAUGUUAUGCCAUGUGGCCAAGGAAGAGAUGGAUGCAAAAAUUCACAUAAACUCUGCAUUUGAUCUUUUCAACAAAAUAAAGAAUAUGCUUUGCAAAUCCCUUAACCUAAUCAAUAAAUUUCAAUCUGCGGGAGUACUGGGAGCAAAGGCUUCAGAUGGAGAGGGUAGAGAGGGUUAAGCAAGUAAAGGAGCACUGGGAAACGCAGUGUAGGGCGUUCAUGGGCAUCUAAAAAUAAAUACAAACAUAUGUUCACUUUCUCUUUCAUUUCCCUAUUCAUCUCGUUUUCACACUUAUCUCAUGACGCUCUUUCUUUCGUUUCGUUUUUCUUUCAAUAUCUAUCUUUUUUCCACCUAAUACACCCAUUUGGGAUGUAAGUUUAUUGUUACCCAACAUCUAAACACACAACCAACUUCUCUUUUGGGUAUAGUAGUUUUCGGUUAAAAUGUUUUUGCUCGAUUAUUUGACCUUUUGUAUCUUUCUUAGCAUUAGCACUUCUAAGAAGUUGUUAUUGGUAGUGUUCGUACCUGAUCUUCAAUGUAAAUAAAGGCUCCUACUUUAGGAAUGAUUACUAUGGCCGUUUUGCUAUAGACUAAGACUUAAGUGUUUAUUUGAUUUUGUAUCUUAGCAAUAGGACGUCUAAGUUUGUUAUUGAUAGUGUUUUGUACUUUGUACCUAACUCUGUUCAAUGUAAAUAACGCCUUCUACUUUAGGAAUUAUUUAA